UACGUAGGGUGCGAGCGUUGUCCGGAAUUAUUGGGCGUAAAGAGCUCGUAGGCGGUUUGUCACGUCUGCUGUGAAAUCCCGAGGCUCAACCUCGGGUCUGCAGUGGGUACGGGCGGACUGGAGUGCGGUAGGGGAGAAUGGAAUUCCUGGUGUAGCGGUGGAAUGCGCAGAUAUCAGGAGGAACACCGAUGGCGAAGGCAGUUCUCUGGGCCGUAACUGACGCUGAGGAGCGAAAGCGUGGGGAGCGAACAGG
rnacentral:rRNA from 1 species